rnacentral:rRNA from 1 species
UACUCCUACGGGAGGCAGCAGUGGGGAAUUUUGGACAAUGGGCGCAAGCCUGAUCCAGCCAUGCCGCGUGAGUGAUGAAGGUCUUAGGAUUGUAAAGCUCUUUCACCGGAGAAGAUAAUGACGGUAUCCGGAGAAGAAGCCCCGGCUAACUUCGUGCCAGCAGCCGCGGUAAU